rnacentral:tRNA from 2 species
GGAGGGGUCGCAUAGUGGCCUAGUGCGGCGGUUUGCUAAACCGCUGGAUGGUGUAAAGCUGUCUCGCGAGUUCAAAUCUCGCCCCCUCCG